rnacentral:rRNA from 1 species
UACGUAGGUGGCAAGCGUUGUCCGGAUUUACUGGGUGUAAAGGGCGUGCAGCCGGAGAGACAAGUCAGAUGUGAAAUCCGCAGGCUCAACCUGCGAACUGCAUUUGAAACUGUUUCCCUUGAGUAUCGGAGAGGUCAUCGGAAUUCCUAGUGUAGCGGUGAAAUGCGUAGAUAUUAGGAGGAACACCAGUGGCGAAGGCGGCUUACUGGACGAUGACUGACGCUGAGGCUCGAAAGCGUGGGUAUCGAACAGG